rnacentral:rRNA from 1 species
GACGAACGCUGGCGGCGUGCUUAACACAUGCAAGUCGAACGAUGAUGCUGGAGCUUGCUCCAGUUGAUUAGUGGCGAACGGGUGAGUAACACGUGAGCAAUCUGCCCUUGACUCUGGAAUAACUGCGGGAAACUGUAGCUAAUACCGGAUACUUUCACCGGGGGGCAUCCUCUGGUGAUGAAAGAAUUUCGGUCAAGGAUGAGCUCGCGGCCUAUCAGCUUGUUGGUGAGGUAACGGCUCACCAAGGCGACGACGGGUAACCGGCCUGAGAGGGUGACCGGUCACACUGGGACUGAGACACGGCCCAGACUCCUACGGGAGGCAGCAGUGGGGAAUAUUGCACAAUGGGCGCAAGCCUGAUGCAGCAACGCCGCGUGAGGGACGAAGGCCUUCGGGUUGUAAACCUCUUUUAGCAGGGAAGAAGCGAAAGUGACGGUACCUGCAGAAAAAGCACCGGCUAACUACGUGCCAGCCGCCGCCGUAA